rnacentral:lncRNA from 1 species
UUUCGGUAAUUUUGAGUGAAGGCAAUGAAGUAAUUUAUGCUUUCGAGGGUAAUUCGGUAAUUUAAGACGUUAAGGACAUUUCGGUAAUUUUAUGCCCCGAGGGUAAUUUCGUAAUUUCGGACAAUGUGAUUAAUUUAUGUAAUCUGAAUUGAGGACAAUAUGGUAAUUGACGAAUAUGAGGAUAAUUUGGUAAAAUAAUGAAGUUUGAGGAUAAGUUGGUAAAAUAUUGAUGUUGGGGGUAUUUUGGUAAUUUUGGCAUGUAGGGGCAUUUUGGUAAUUUUACUCAUGCGGGAAUAGUUUACCGUUAAUAGAGAUUUGAUUCGAGAUUUAUUAUAUUAAAUUGGUUGUAUUUCUAUUUACGGAGAAUAAUUAUAGUGUUUCCGUGAUUAGGAGGAUCCGCAUCCGCGAACGAGAAUCAACCCGCGGACGUUGUUGAUACCGAGUCUAGACAUCAUCACUGUGAGUGGAAUAUACAAAACCUAUUUUCAUAGUAUAUGCUGGUUUUAUGAUAAGUAUUUAAUGCUUCGAUUAAAUAAUUUUCUGGCAAAUUAAUUUUUAUCUAUGUGUUGGUCUUUAUUGUUAUUGAGAAUGAGUUUGAUUAAUGAUUUUAUUAGCGUUUUUUUUUAGUAAAGGCAUGAUAUUAGAAUUGAGCAGAUUUUGAGAUAUGUUGAAUAGAAAGAAAAUGAGAUUUCAGAUGAGAUUCUAUGUUUAUGUAUAUGUUAUUUUUGAAAUCAUUAGACAGUACCCUUCCCUCCAGAUACAGAGAAACAGAUAAUAUGAGAUGAGAAAAGAGAUACAGACAAGAGAUACAGAUAAGAUGAGAUAGAGGCCUUUGGGGCCCGUCGGGACACACAUAGAGGCUUUGGGCCGUGUGUUCGGGCGCUUUUGCCUUUUGGGGGCUUAUGCAUGCACAGUACAGAUAUAUGAGAUAAGAGAUAUGAGAUAUGAGAUAUGAGAUGAGAUCGUCCCCAUCUAUCCGUUGUAGCUCCGGGGCGUGACGUUACCCAGAUAGUACGUCAUUGCCCGUCCGUCGAGAUCCGGAUAUGAUCAGAUUAUUCCCUGGGUACUUGUUUGAUGACAGUUUUUAGUAUUCAGUAUUUGAUAUGAUGAGUAUUAUAUGAUUCCAUCGAUUUUAUGCGAAUAUAUGUAUUAUAGUGUUUCAAUGAACUGAUUUGCAUUAAAUGAGUUUGAGCAAGUUCUUAUGAUAUUUUGAGAAAUUGAAAUUGAUUUGAGAAACAAUUUGAGAAAUUGAUUUGAGAAAGAUUAAAUCAUUUUAAAUAAAUUUAUUAAAUUGUCAGUAACUACUAUCCACUCACUGAGCUCACUGAGUUUUAUACUCACCCCUCUUUUAUUAUUUUAUAUUUUUCCCCCCACAGGAGAGUUACAGGUACAUCAGUCAACCCAGUAGCGAACGUUAGUGUGAUAUUGUGGCCACGUGAUGGUGCUAGGAGUCGUGGAUUUUCACUGUGAGUGGAAUAUACAAACCUAUUUUCAUAGUAUAUGCUGAUUUUAUGAUAAGUAUUUAAUGCUUCGAUUAAAUGAUUUUCCGGUAAAUUAAUUUUUAUCUAUGUGUCGGUCUUUAUUGUUAUUGAGAAUGAGUUUGAUUAAUGAUUUUAUUAGCGUUUUUGAGUAAAGGCAUGAUAUUAGAAUUGAGCAGAUUUUGAGAUAUGUUGAAUAGAAAGAAAAUGAGAUUUCGGAUGAGAUUCUAUGUUUAUGUAUAUGUUAUUUUUGAAAUCAUUAGACAGUACCCUUCCCUCCAGAUACAGAGAAACAGAUAAUAUGAGAUGAGAAAAGAGAUACAGACAAGAGAUACAGAUAAGAUGAGAUAGAGGCCUUUGGGGCCCGUCGGGACACACAUAGAGGCUUUGGGCCGUGUGUUCGGGCGCUUUUGCCUUUUGGGGGCUUAUGCAUGCACAGUACAGAUAUAUGAGAUAUGAGAUGAGAUCGUCCCCAUCUAUCCGUUGUAGCUCCGGGGCGUGACGCUACCCAGAUAGUACGUCAUUGCCCGUCCGUCGAGGUCCGGAUAUGAUCAGAUUAUCCCUUGGGUACUUGUUUGAUGACAGUUUUUAGUCUUCAGUAUUUGAUAUGAUGAGUAUUAUAUGAUUCCAUCGAUUUUAUGCGAAUAUAUGUAUUAUAGUGUUUCAAUGAACUGAUUUGCAUUAAAUGAGUUUGAGCAAGUUCUUAUGAUAUUUUGAGAAAUUGAAAUUGAUUUGAGAAACGAUUUGAGAAAUUGAUUUGAGAAAGAUUAAAUCAUUUUAAAUAAAUUUAUUAAAUUGUCAGUAACUACUAUCCACUCACUGAGCUCACUGAGUUUUAUACUCAC